UCACAUGCCACCGCACACUUUUUGCACUUUUUUUUGCCAAUUUUGGAUGACACAAAGCAAAAUCAUCUCUACAGAUGUCAUGUUUGCGAUUGUCGAUGCCGUUAAUUUGUGAAAGGACAGUCACUGCCGUCUAGAGGAUUUAUUGCGUAACAUCCAUAACAACGCUGAAACCAGACGGAGGUAUGAAGGGUAGCUCCCGGGGCAACGUUUGGGGCGACGGACGAAUUUCGUCCGGAUCCGGAGGUAUGGAUCGGCCUUAACUCUAUGUUUGUUAAACCUCCGUUCGUGGAAUACCCCUCUACAAACAGUAAAAGCUUAAAUAAUUUGUCCUCCAGAAUUUGUAAUCAUCCAUUCGUCACUCACCCCCGCCCCCCUAUGUACGAUGUGUGCGGAUGUAUUUAGGUGUGAAGAUCAAACAAGAUGAAACAGCCCCAGAGUGUUCGUUCUAGGUUGGACAGCCAUUCAGGGCCGGUGACCGUCCAGUGGACCAAAAGAC
ensembl:lncRNA